AGUUACUGAGCAGAGAUGGACACAUGUAGGGAGGAGGUAUCUUUGUGUGUGAUGCAGUCUUCCAAAAAUGCCCAAGGCUCCUAAAAGCCACCGGGCCAGGAGAUUACCCAUUACCUGGCAGAUCCAGAUGGCUCUGAGUCAGGGCAACGUUGAAGGAGGGGGAAGAUGCAUUUUCCUGGCCAGCUACAAGGCUGAGAAAUGACUGAGGAGCCCCCUAAUGCCAUUGCAGGGCCUUGAGCGUGUUAACCAGCACCUGGCAAUCGGAUUAGGGACUGCAAAUUCAAUUACAGAGCCCAGGCUCAUGCAUUUGAGCAAUUACUGCUGCCUCCGGUCGAGUCACAUGAAUCUUGGAAGCAAGUCAUGUGGAAGAACAUGAAGGGCUGGGAAACCAGUGAUACCACUGCGCAUGUAGCAUCACCCACUGGGAGUGAAGCAGUGCAAGAAUUAUAAUGACUAGUGAGCAUG